AUUGAACGCUGGCGGCAGGCUUAACACAUGCAAGUCGAGCGGUAGAGGGGAGCUUGCUUCCCUUGAGAGCGGCGGACGGGUGAGUAAUGCCUAGGAAUCUGCCUGGUAGUGGGGGACAACGUUCGGAAACGGACGCUAAUACCGCAUACGUCCUACGGGAGAAAGUGGGGGAUCUUCGGACCUCACGCUAUCAGAUGAGCCUAGGUCGGAUUAGCUAGUUGGUAGGGUAAAGGCCUACCAAGGCGACGAUCCGUAACUGGUCUGAGAGGAUGAUCAGUCACACUGGAACUGAGACACGGUCCAGACUCCUACGGGAGGCAGCAGUGGGGAAUAUUGGACAAUGGGCGCAAGCCUGAUCCAGCCAUGCCGCGUGUGUGAAGAAGGUCUUCGGAUUGUAAAGCACUUUAAGUUGGGAGGAAGUUCAGUAAGUUAAUACCUUGUUGAAUUGACGUUACCGACAGAAUAAGCACCGGCUAACUCUGUGCCAGCCGCCGCAGUAA
rnacentral:rRNA from 1 species